UUUUUCCAUAUAUAUAUAUAUAUAUAUAUAUAUAUGAAAUCCUUUUGUAGAAUUUAUUUCAAAUAUUUCCAUUUUACAAAGUUUAUGCAGUUUCACGUCCUUCUCUACUGUUCAUUCACAUUUUGUGGAAUUUUAGGGGUGUCAACAAGCCAAGCUAGCUUGCGAGUUGGCUCAGCUUGGCUUGUAAUGAACCAAGCUUGAACAAUAUUCUGUAGCUUGACAAGCCUGGCCAAACCAAGCCAAUCUGGAUGGCUAGUUUAUUAAUCAAGCCAAGCUGAAGUUGAGGAACUGUACCUUGAGCACGGGUUGAGCUUGUUUUUUAUAUUGUAUGUAAUUAAUUGAGAUCAUAUUUACAAAUGCAAAUUUUAAAAACAGAUGUUGCCCAGAAGAAUGGCUUAUGCUUGGCUUGUUUAUCGGUUGACUUGGCUUGUUGCUUGAUUACUGGCUUGUUUAGGACUUGAGUUGGCUUUUCAUGGGCUCACUUAAGGAGACGAGCUGAACGAAGCUCAAGCUUCCGGCCCCUAAUCAAUCCAAGCUCAAGCUGGGUAGUUCAAUCUCUGAGUCAACCUCAAGCAUCUUCCACCGUGCAAGCCAAGCGUGAACAUGUCCAAGCUCAGCUGUGGGGUGUCUGUGUCCUUUUGUUUUUCUAUGUUUCAUACUUUAUGAAACUGUGUUCAUUGCUUAAGUUAUGAAAUGAAUGCCAUCACUUAAAAAGAUAGUGCCUAAUGCUUCGUCUACUUUUGUUUGAAUACUUCUCCAUGCUCUUUGUUACGUGUGUAUUUGAUUCAUGCAUGUUGUUACUUUUUUUAGAAAAUCUUUAUUGCCAUGCCUUUAUAGAGUCUCAUUUUGAAUCAAAGAGCUACAUAUGGGACAUUUCCAUCAUUCAUAUUAAGUUCUCUCAAAGCUUAUAAUAUUAACUGGCUGAUUUUCUCUUUAUGUUGCUGAUAUUUUUUAGUAGGUGGUUUGGGUGAACUGCAUUUUAAUGAAAGAGGUGCUCCACUAUUUUCUGGGGAUCCAUUUAUCACAGGAGAUUCUUCUAUGGUUUGAUGUCUUUGCUUCCAUUUACAGGGGCUUUAGCUGUGAGUUUGUAGGAGAGAAAUUUCUUGCAUGCAAGAGUCUCUUGUGUGCGUAUACUUGAAGAUGACUAUUGAUGCUGUGUGGGUGGAAUAUAUGUGAAGAAGCUGCAUGACUGGUCAACACCUGUCUAUGCAUCACUUGUUGAGUGCGAACUUGUAUGCAUGAAGUUCAUGAUGCCAGUCAUACAUGAAAUUGAAAUGAAGCACACCAUGUCAACUUAAUCUUGUGCUUGUGAGAUCAAGUCCAUAUAUAUUGGAUGUUUAGAUUCAUUUGCCAUCUGGGUCCUUUGAGAAACACAUGGGAGUACAAGACUCAGAAUAGAAAUGAAUCAGCUAUUUGUGGCAGAUUGCUUGUGAAGUUUCAUGGUGAAGGAAAGGAGAAACAGGUCAAGAGAGGCGAUUCUAAACCGAUCAUAAGUCAGGGGGGCUUUCCAACAUGAUCUAAAAGGGCGCACACGUGAGCCAGCCCGAGUGUGUCACGGACUCACGUGAGGUAUGUCCCGCCUCACGAUCCAAAUUCCUCAUUAGUUGGAUAUAUGCCCUUGUUCUUAAACACGGUUAUCGAGAGAGCGAUCUUAGGUCCCGGGCUCCGAACCCGAGACACGUGUCACCCGAUUACCUAGAUCCGGGAAGGUGAGAUCGAGGCACCUAACCACAUACUUUCCUGUAGUUCGCAGCAUUAUUAGUCACUACUGAGGCAGUAUUUUCAGGUCCAACCUCAUCUACAAUUUUGUCCACGUGUGUGCAUAUCAGUCUUUCAUCUUUCAUGAUGGUCACUCUUGUACCUGAUCAACAGACCUUGAACUGUGCAAUAUGCUUAUCGACAUCAUGAACAGCAGCUUUUAAACAUGGCUUUGCAAGAGCCUUUGUAGUUGGACCUCUACCACCCAGCCCUGCCUCAGUCCAAAGGGUUCGUGGGUCAUUGGUGGAACAUUUAUUGGUUCAUGUCGUUGAGUAGUAGAUGACUGACUAUAAAAGGAUGGGCGACUAGAGAAACUACGUCUCAAUCUACUAAAUGUGUACUUAAGCAAUGAAGGCAUGUAUCCUCCCUUACCCGGUACUGCAGGUUGUUGCGGCCAACGGCUACUGGAUGUACCAUCCUUUCCCCCAUACAUCUCUUGAAUUUCCAUUUGUCUAUAAUUCAGUUCUUGGAGGCUGGCAAUCCUAGUUCGUUCCAUUUGCGUCUCGAACUUUGCUCCUUGGUCUUCAUCCUCAUCUAUUGGACUUUCUUAUCCCCUCA